rnacentral:lncRNA from 1 species
AUGAUGGUGGAAUUGCAACAAGAAAGUGAAGCAGCUGCUGAAUUACUAAAAGUUCAUUUGCAGGACCAAGAUUGGGGAAAUAAUUCAAAGAAAAUACAGGGCCCUGGUGCUACUCUACAAUUUUUGGGAAUAGUUUGGCAUGGACAAAUCAGAAAAAUACCAAAUCAGGUACAGCAAGCAAAGCAGCCAUUUCCUGUACCAAUCACAGUAAAACAGUUACAGACCUUUGGAGGACUUUUAGGGGACUGGAGAACUUUUACACCACAUUUGGUCAUAUUAAUAUGCCUUUGGCAGAAAUUAACUAGGAAGAAAGUUGUCUGGCAGGGGACCAAGCAACAACAAGAAGCUUUUGAUGCCUGCAAAGAUGCUUUGAUUGAGCAUGCACAAUUACACACUCCUAAGCAAAGAUAUUCAUUUGAAUUAGUAACAAUUUCAGAUGAUACAGUCUCAGGAUUGUGGCAGAUGACAGGGAUGAAAAAUCAGAAAGAACCUAUAGGGUUUUGGUCCAAGGCAUUACAAGGUUCUGCUAUACAUCAUAACCCAACUUCUCCUCUUGUUUUACAUCCUUUGUUAAUAUCAAAUUCUCAAGUUUUUGUAUUUCAGGUGUCUUUGGUGAAUACCUGUGCCUCAUCUAGAGGAGAUAGCAUUGGAAUGCUGUUAUUGGUGUUGCAAACCCAACAUCUAAUUGAAGUUCACUCUGAAAAGGCACAAGCCAUAGCUCUACAAUCCGUGUGGGCAAUUACCCCACAUCAGGUUAUCAAACCCAAAGUCACAGUAGCUGAAGGAGCUGAAGCAGCACACACCAGAAACGUUGCUUCAACUUUGAAAACACGUUGCUUCAAUGGAACUGAUGGAACAGCCAGCCCAGAGCACAACAUUCAACAUUCUCCAGGACUGAAUGUAUCAAAUGGAACAACCUUCUGGUGGUGCCCAGCUGGUUGAGGGCACCUAGAUAGGAGGAACAGAACACCUGAUUCAGAGCAUUACUGUAAAGAUGCGUCUAUUCUUUUUUCUAUAUAUGUUUAUUGCAUGCCUCUGUGAGCUAGUUUGUAUUGUAACCUGCAAGCCUAAAUGAAUGUCUCCAGUUUUGUAAACCCCAGCAAAAGUCGUCUCUUGAGCAAGGGGGUGGAAUACAAGCUCAUGCCCUGGAUACAUCUCUGCAAAAUCAACGUGUAAACACUCAGAUUUGGUUAGCCUCUACUGCAACUAACUUGUCUGCAUUUAAUACUAAGGGAACAUUAACAGCUGCAGAUCUGUAGAAAGCUUGUUUCAGUGGCGCGUUGACCCCAGCAUGUGUGAUGUAGAGUUAUGCUGUGUUAAGUGUCUUUGAUAUUAAUGUCUCAUUGCUGGUUUUUUUUUUUCUGAGUAGGUAACGGCCAUGUGCCAAUGAACAUUACAUACUGACUGACAGUCAACGUUUUCCUCCCCAGACACCAGAAACGUUGCUUCAACUUUGAAAACACGUUGCUUCAAUGGAACUGAUGGAACAGCCAGCCCAGAGCACAACAUUCAACAUUCUCCAGGACUGAAUGUAUCAAAUGGAACAACCUUCUGGUGGUGCCCAGCUGGUUGAGGGCACCUAGAUAGGAGGAACAGAACACCUGAUUCAGAGCAUUACUGUAAAGAUGCGUCUAUUCUUUUUUCUAUAUAUGUUUAUUGCAUGCCUCUGUGAGCUAGUUUGUAUUGUAACCUGCAAGCCUAAAUGAAUGUCUCCAGUUUUGUAAACCCCAGCAAAAGUCGUCUCUUGAGCAAGGGGGUGGAAUGUGGGAAACUAAUGGAAGAUUGGCGAGGAGGACUGUAAAUACGCUCAAGUGACUUGUAUGUGGGGUGCUGGAAAACACAGCUAUCACACUAAUUGUUGCUUAGUCUUGUGUGCUCAACAAGUAGAACAUCUGCACUUAGAUAACAUAGGCCUGGGAUGGACUCAGGGGCACCUUCUCAA